CAGUCGCCGCGGGAAUACGAAGGGGGCUAGCGUUGUUCGGAUUUACUGGGCGUAAAACGCACGUAGGCGGAUCGAUCAGUCAGGGGUGAAAUCCUGGAGCUCAACUCCAGAACUGCCUUUGAUACUGUCGAUCUCGAGUCCGGAAGAGGUGAGUGGAACUCCUAGUGUAGAGGUGGAAUUCGUAGAUAUUAGGAAGAACACCAGUGGCGAAGGCGGCUCACUGGUCCGGUACUGACGCUGAGGUGCGAAAGCGUGGGGAGCAAACAGGAUUAGAGACCCCUGUAGUCCCUGUCUCUUAUAA
rnacentral:rRNA from 1 species